GCGGGUGUGGUGGAAUGGCAGACACAACAGACUUAAAAUCUGUCGGGUUUCCCGUGCCGGUUCGAGUCCGGCCACCCGCA
rnacentral:tRNA from 1 species